AUCGCUUCUUGGCCUUUUGGCUAAGAUCAAGUGUAAUUUUUUUUUUUUUUUUUUGACAGGCAGAGUGAACAGUGAGAGAGAGAGACAGAGAGAAAGGUCUUCCUUCCAUUGGUUCACCCCGCAAUGGCUGCCGCAGCUGGUGCACUAAGGCUGGCGCACCACGCUGAU
ensembl:snRNA U2 U2 spliceosomal RNA